CAACUAGUGUCAGCGAGCACCGCGAGGGCGAAUAAAAUACGAAUCCUUACAUAACCGCCCGGCUGGAGCGGGGCCCCGCGCGAGGGGAAUUCCUACGGGCAACGGCGAGGCGCCCCAGGCGCGUCCCCAAGCCCAGCGGCGCAAAGCGGGGAAACAGGCCGGGAAGAUGAGCUCCAGCUCCAGCGCUACAGAGACUUUAUUCCUUAUCCCCGUGCCAGUAACAAAGAGCAAACCUGGGGUGAUGCACAUUUAACAAAGCGUCGGCUAGCUCCUAGCGAGCAUUUGUCCACCUGACAAAGUCAUCUCCUUGCUCGAAACAACUGGCACUGAGAGGUGGAGAAAGCCAGCACGAGCACAACGAGUCCAAAGCAGGCUGACCAGCUCUGGCACAAAUGUGUAGGACUCCAGGACUGAACAGUAUAAUGUGCUGCACUCGUAUAAUGGUAAAGAUUGAGCUAGAGGUCUGCAAAAACAGCCAGGACAUUUUUAUUCCAGCUGUUAUUUAAGCGGGUGCUAGGACUCGGUGAAUGCUUGUCGCCAUGAAAGCAACCUCGCUGCUUUGCAACACACCACAGCUUCAAAAUAAACCCAGGGGACAGCUCUCACGGUUACAGCUAUAUGGAUUUUAUAAAAAUUACCAACUGGAUGGAAAGCAAGCAGCUUGGUAACAAGACAGCCUGUCACCUAUAUCACAGAUUCAAACGGCCUGGCUGCUACACGAGAACAUACAGUGUUGAUCAAGGGGCAAAAGGGGGACAAAUAUGUUAAGGAAAGAGCCGAGGCUCUUGCAGCAGGCCUUAUAAGGACCUUGUAGGGUUGGAAUAAAUAACCCAAACACAACCUCAGUAUCGGACCUAUGAAUUUUUAUGAAACUAGGAUUUAUGAAACUAGGAAGCAAGACUUAAAGACAAGUAUUUGCACAAAGACAAGUGGGUAUUUUCUAAGGCUUGUUGUAAGCAAUUGAGCACAAGGCGAAUGCAAGUUCAGUCCGUCGGGGGAAAGAGGUGACCUACACCUGCCCGUUUCUGCAGAGGAGUAAAAAGGGCAUUUCCUUCUUUACCUUACUGCACAGAAAGGAACUUUCCCCUUUAUAACGGCCUCCUGGUGAGCCCAUCACAAAUUCACAUAGCCAAGAAUUACAUCUGCCAGAAAGAGCCAGUUUAUCAAAUGAUCUCCUCAUGGGAGGUAAUCUUGUUACAGGGUCCUGAUAGCUUACACAGUCAUCGCAUCUCAGCUGCAUUACUCUGAAACACAAGUGAGGUCCUCGCAACUGCGCGGUGACCAAACUAUACAUUGGAAGAAGCUUCUCAGGAGACUCUUGGCAAUUGAGAGCUUCCCUAGUAAACGACACAGCAGUCUCCCCUGUUGCAAUCACUGGAAAAUUUGCAGUUUCCAUACGACAUCAAAAAAAAGCCCUUCAGGGCAGACUGCUCUCCUCGCUGUCCCUCUGCGAGCUGAGAUGUCCCAGGACUGCUCAGCAUCUGGCUGAUCCAGGCCCACCAAGCGCGGCAUGGAGAAGCACUGCAGCCCUUACAUGUCUCCUCACUCUCUGGAUCCCGUGAGCCGGGCUGGCGGCUCCCUUCUCUCUCCUCGCUGCCGCACCACAGGACAGCAGGGACCUCUCCUUUCCAUCCUCGACGGCUCCUCCACACUGCCGGGCUGCCCCUUCCCCUUCCCACCGGCAUGUCCCCCAUCCAGCAGCGGCUGUCUGCACGCCCCGCUGAUCGCCCCCAAGCAGAGAAGCUGCCUACAACCUGAUUUUUUGGUGAGUUAUUAAACUCGAACUAGGCUUGACUGCUAAUCAACCUAAAACCGUUCAGAUGGAGUCAAACUCUAACGCCACAACAUUAUUUGUUGGCAACUGAGUAUUGCUGGGCUUCGAGAAUCAUCUGCUUUUUAACAAAUGCUGCGCUGUAAACGAAAAUGCCAGAUCUUCUGAGUAAGAUCUAAACCAACCAUGGAAAACCAGAGAAGUCUUUCCGUUGCUUGUAAUGAGUUUUGGACUGAAACGUAAGGGAUAAAAUUUGAUCCUUUUUUCCCUCAUUUUAUUUUUAUUCAUAUAAGCUUGGUUUAUUCACUUUCCCACACUCAUUUGCUUUGCUACCCAAGGCCAGUGUGCAUGAGGAGCCGGAAAAUCCUAAAUCAUAACGGUGGGCGGUUGAACAUAAUGUAACAAAAAUCUAGUCAGAAAAUACACGUAGUGACGAAAUGCACUGCCUUUUGCAAAUGCUUAUUGCAAAUAACUUGCAAAACAAAAUUGCAAAUGACUCCCACCAUGGCAAAACAUGUACUGUUUCAGACUUCAGUCUCAGCUUUCCAAAGAUUUUUUUAAAGGUACUGAAGGCCACAAGCUGUUAUUAGACAAGAUACACUGAUUUUACAUCAAGGGAUUUAUAUUACAGAUAUUUAUCAUGAUGUUAAUCAAAGCCGAAUCCUUUGAGUUACAAUCCUGGCACUUGUAUUUUUCAGUUAUAAUCUUCAAGAGAUUGACUCUCAACUCUUCCUAUAA